GACGAACGCUGGCGGCGUGCUUAACACAUGCAAGUCGAACGGAAAGGCCCUGCUUGCAGGGUCCUCGAGUGGCGAACGGGUGAGUAACACGUGGGUGAUCUGCCCUGCACUUCGGGAUAAGCCUGGGAAACUGGGUCUAAUACCGGAUAGGAGCCAUUUUUAGUGUGAUGGUUGGAAAGUUUUUUCGGUGUAGGAUGAGCUCGCGGCCUAUCAGCUUGUUGGUGGGGUAAUGGCUUACCAAGGCGGCGACGGGUAGCCGGCCUGAGAGGGUGGACGGCCACAUUGGGACUGAGAUACGGCCCAGACUCCUACGGGAGGCAGCAGUGGGGAAUAUUGCACAAUGGGCGCAAGCCUGAUGCAGCGACGCCGCGUGGGGGAUGACGGCCUUCGGGUUGUAAACUCCUUUCGCUAGGGACGAAGCUUUUUGUGACGGUACCUAGAUAAGAAGCACCGGCUAACUACGUG
rnacentral:rRNA from 1 species